AUUGUUAAAGAUCUUACAGUGCUAUACAGCUGUUAGCUCUUGGUGGUGAGUUGUCACAUUCACAAUCAUACCACAUCUUCUUGAUUUUAUAUUAUAAACUUUAUUUUGAUAUUUGGUCAAGGAAGAUGAUUGGUGUGGUUGUUUUCAAUCUUAUUUGACAAAAUGAUUGAUAUUUUAGAAUAUAGAGCUGAGAGACCUCAGUUUCAGAGAUUGUGUGAAUACAAGUGUUAUAUUUAUAUCAUUAUCACCCACAUUUUACUUAAUAUGGAUCCUGAUUUAUU
rnacentral:lncRNA from 1 species